rnacentral:rRNA from 1 species
UACGAAGGGGGCUAGCGUUGCUCGGAAUCACUGGGCGUAAAGCGCACGUAGGCGGCUUUCUAAGUCAGGGGUGAAAUCCUGGAGCUCAACUCCAGAACUGCCUUUGAUACUGGAGAGCUUGAGUCCGGAAGAGGUGAGUGGAACUCCGAGUGUAGAGGUGAAAUUCGUAGACAUUCGGAAGAACACCAGUGGCGAAGGCGGCUCACUGGUCCGGUACUGACGCUGAGGUGCGAAAGCGUGGGGAGCAAACAGG